rnacentral:lncRNA from 1 species
GGUUGGUGGAUUGGUAGAUGUAGGCUGCGGUUUAGGUUUGUUUCGUGGCUUUUUGGGUGCAGUUUGAGGGUGUGGUUUGGUGGAGUUUUAGGGCUAUGGAUGAAAGUUUUCGAUCUGUGGUGGAUGGCAGCAAAGGUUUGAUAGAAAUCAGUGAAAGUUUGCUGCAGAAUUGUGUUGUCUUGUAAGAGCAGAAUUGUCGUCGAAGAAACAACGGUUUCUCGACGAAAUCUCCACCAAAAAUUUGACAGAUUUGAGGAGGGAAUUGACAGUAAUAUCUUAGUUUAUAUGACAGAGAAAAUAUAGUAUCAAGAUCAAACAAACAAUGCUAUGCGACUGAAAUUCU